AACAAAGUGCACCUAUAUAGUAAAUGGAGCUGAUAAAAUGGACAGUGAGGUGGUCAUAAUGUUACGCCAGCAUUAUAACGUGUAAGUUAUAAUGCUGGAUUCUCCUGCAACAGGGAUACAGCUGGUUUGUUCUCUGUUAAAUUGUUCCAGAGCAAAAAGUCUGUUUGCGUCUUGGUCUGUGAGACCACCCACUGCCCAGUACUUCCCAUAACCCGGGUUGCCAAAUAUGAAACAAAUAGUCAGGCGAACACAGCGUGCUGCAACCUAAAAAGCCUUGGCAUCAUUUUAAAGAGCUCCAUGACCAGAGAUGGAAUAAAAUACAAGUUAAUAUCGGCGAUGCAUUUGAAAGACAGCUUAGAGCCCAGAAAGAAUAUAAGACGGAUACCAAGUUGGCUGAUUUUCUCCUGUACAGGUAAACAUUGAGCUCCAGCUAAGAUUGGCUAAUUUAUCACAGCUAGUAAGGAUGGGCAUUGCAAGUAAUUUCAACAUUUAACUGUAUUUGAAUGUAACUGCUGCAUCAUUUAAGGUGGAACAGAAAAAUUCGAAUAAGGAUCUGGCGAAUAGGCUGAGGCAUCAGAAUGUAAGUGCUGCACCAUUUAAGGUGGAACAGAAAAAUUUGUAUUUGACCUUGUGUGUGGUAGUUUUACAGUCCUGGCAUAGAGCUGCCGCUGCCCUUUUCCGUUCCUAACAAUUAACUGAAACCUGGUUAGCCUACGGCUGAUUGAUAUCGUAUGUAGGAAUUCCAGGUUUAGCGUGAGCUUUUUAUCACAACAUUUUUCCCACCCAUUGUAAAUCAAAACAUGACUGAUGCCAUUGUCCCUUCCUGCCCAUUGGGAGAGCUUGCUUGGAAGUAUCUACCUAGUAACCGCUGAGAAAAUCCUAAUUGGACGCUUUUCCAUUGGGUGGUUUUAAAGAUUUGAAACCUUUUCAUGUAUUUCAUUAGAUUUUUUUAAGGCCUGGAAUGCCCUGAAGGUUCCACGCUGCAUUUUUAUUGAUAUAUAGUUAUAUUUAAGCUUUAUAUUAAGGGGAACAAAAUUCUUUUCAACAAUAAGGGGAUGCAUUCCCCCAUUCACUUCUUAAGUCACCCACCUGUAUGUGUGCUUUUGAGGGAGUUCUCUUGAUGCUGUGAAUUUAGAACCACAUGAGGCCCUAUGCAUUUUAUUUAUUAGAAGAGCUCUCUGUAGCUGGCACACUCUGAAGGUGGUCCCUAGCUUCUCAGCUAUCACACACUGUCACCCACUCACAGCAUCCAGUGUCCAGGCCUAAACACUCUCCACAUACCCACUGUAUUCACAGCGAAGGACCACAUGCCAAGUUUAACAAACUUUCAUCCAAACCUCGCGCCAUGAAUCAAGCUCUCAGUUCCAAAGUGCAUGAUGUUAAGCUGCUUAGCAUUCAGAGUAAACAUGGGCAGAAUAAAUGGUCUUUCACUGUCAUAUAUUUAUUCUCAGUAUAAAUACAUGUACGGAUCACCUGUUCUGUUUAGUCACAAAACAUAAAACCAUUGUAUCGGC